GGGGGGGGGGCAACGAUGACAGAGGAAAAGGGGGGAACACUGGCAUGUUGUAAAGUCCACCGGAUACUGGGCUCCACAGUUUGCCUGGGAGCACCAGUGUCUCGAACAAGCUGCAGACGGGCACAGUAUGCCUUGAUAACAAUACAGAGGCCCAACGUUUGGACAGGAGAAACCCCAUCAGCACACCCAAGGUGCUGCCCUCUUAAAACUGUACUGCUGCCGUGGCUUGUCAUUGAGACAUGAUUAUUAUCUAGGAGUUCAAAUGUGGUUUUCCUUGAGAAGGAGAUGAAGAGGGAAUACUUGUGGUCAGUACGCUGAGUUUUUUUUUUUUUUUACUUUAAAGAUGUGGUUGCAGCCCCUAACCAAUCAAAGCAUGGGAAGUGUGGAAGUAGUGGAGGCAUGUGGAGUUGAAAAGAGGGGGUCUUUUUGAUUGACGUUCUGAAUGUCCUAUGGGGAUAAAGUAACGGAGCAGACGGGGUAGGGAACCCACCCAAAGGCAAUUAAGGGUAAAGGACGAAGAAAUUUGAUGAAACUUUUUCGCCAAAGAGAAAUCGUAGGGAUAGCCCCGAAAAUGACGGACAAGCACAUCAGUAUCAAGACACCGCAGUUUGUACGAUGAAACGUGAGGUUUUAAAGUUCUGCAAUGAGAAUGAAACUUCGUUAGAAGACGUUAAAGGAUCAACUGAAGUUUUUUUCUAUCUCCGCCAAGUAAGCUGGAACAAAGCAAUUGGAAAAGUUAUAUAAAGAGAGAUAAGUGAUUGAUAACUGCCAGUACAGUAUGAGUGAUAAGAAAAAUGUUUUACGCAAAUGCGAUAUUCAGCUCAUAGCGUUCCGUAUCGAGGACAAUCAAGAUCAAAUUCAAAUGAGAUAGAGGACGAGGGAAAAUUGAUCUCAGUUCUUUUUGGAGUCUCAGAAUAACAUUCGGACUCGUCGUGGGGAAGGUUUCCUGAAUUUUCUACAUCUACCGAAAAGGGAAUUGCACUGUUUACUGGUUUUAUCUCGCCUGUUGCGGGGAUGGGGGCAGCGCCAGGCUCGGGCUGGGAAGAGGGGGAGUUCGAGUUCAAGUUGGUGUUUGAGGAGGAUCAGACCCGCGGCCCAUCCCCGCUGCGCAAUGCCGACCGGGACCCCAGCUCUGAGGGGGAGAGGACGGAGAGAGCCCCUGUGCACCUUGACACAAGCAGCAACACUGAUACCUCCACACAUGUUGGCCAACCGCUGGGCAUCCCUUCCCCACCAAACUCCACCAGUCAGAGGGCAGGGAUGCAUUCUCCACCCCCGAGGAGAGCGCUGGUGCGGGAGUUUAGU
ensembl:lncRNA